rnacentral:lncRNA from 1 species
UUUUUUUUUUGAGAAAAGUUAACAUGCUAAGCAUCGGCUUCGUUUAUUUUUUAAAAAAAUAAACUUAGCUGAAAAUGUAAAUUAAGUAGAAUUCAAACUUGGGAUCUCAAGUAUCAACGAUCAAACGCUUUAUCAUUUGCGUUAGGGACGGUCGGUCUAAAUAGCCCAUAGGUCAAACGCAAUUUUUUUUUUUUUUUUUGAGAGAUAGGUAGCAUGCUACCCGGUUCGUUUAUUUCAUUUAGAAAUAAACUUCGCUGGAAAUGUAAAUCAACUAGGGUUCGAACUUGGGUCUCGAGUACCAACUAUCAAGUCCUUUGCCACUUGCUCUAGGGACGGUCGGUCGCAAUUCUUCAUUGGUGCACCUUAUUAAUGCAAUAGUGAAAAGUCAAUCACUAGAGAAAACCACAACAAGAAAAGGCGCAAUUUUAGCCAACCACUCAUAUUAUUUACUUAAAUACUUAAUUAUUAUACACGCACACAUGCACGUAUACGAAGCAAAAUAUCCCUGCACUACGUACCUUACAAUUACACUUCACAUGCUAGAUUAAGCACGUCCAAAGCAAAAGGAGAUAUAUAGUUCUUUAUCAUAAAGGCAAACAUAAAUAAACACACCACACCUGAUAUUGAUAGAGUACUUCACUUGCUUGAGAGUCCAGUUGCUACGUACGCUUAACAUAUAGUCAGCAACAAUCCAUAGUGAUCACUAGGAGGAUAUGCCUCCGUCCCGAUCAGUUCGAUGUCGAUCAAGCUAAAGUCGCUUAGUUUGCACACGAAUCGAUCCAACCUUUCCUGCAGUGUUCUUCGGUCCUUCAGAUGUUCGUUCGACUUCGUAUCAUACGUAUAUCCGCGGU